ACUUUCCCUGAAGAUGAGGAACUGUCAGAGAAGAUGUUUCACACUCUUGAUGUACUGCAGACUGUCCGCCUGGACCGGGAGGGGAUUACUACUAUCAGGAACUUAGAAGGCCUCCAGAAUCUUCACAGUCUCUAUCUGCAAGGGGUAACUUCUUUCUCCACCCUUCCCCUCCCCUUGACCCCUGUGGACCUAAUCUCUCUCGUCUGAAAGGAGCCAACCAGGUCAUCUUGCCCAUUCCCUGGUGUUCAGGCAGGCAGACCUUCAUUUAAACCAUUCCCAGAUGAAUGACAUAGGGUCCUGAAUUGAAAGACUAAUUCCCUCAAAAUAGAUCCUGAACAUGACCUGUGCUCCCUCCACUGUUCUUUAGGCACUUCUCUUGAUCUAGAAGUUCUUCUUGGCAUCUACUCUAAAUCUUUCAUGUUAAAUAGCUCCAGCCCAUUUCCUGUUUUGAAGAAGAGGAAACUAUGAAGAUUCCUCUACAUCAUUCAGAUCCUACUUGAAGGCUGUUUGGUGGUGGUGGUGGUGGUUGGUUGAUCUUCAGCCUUUCCCUGGUUGAAUAUUCCCAGCUCGCUUCAACUUUCCCCAUAGAAACUUUACCCAUCAAGUUCCUGUAUGCUCAUUGUUCUCUCUGUGUAUGCAAGCCACCACCAAGGCCCUUUCCAUUUUCCUGGUGGCUUCUUGGUUUCCUUUUCUGAUUCCCAGGCCACUCGUUGGUUGUGGAAUCAGAAGAGUAUACUUAGUCAGGUUUAGAUACCCCAGGUUUACACCCUUAACCAUCCACAUGGAGAAAGAAAAUCAUCUUUCUUAAGGUAGUGGCAACCUGUUCAAGGAGUGGGGUGAUCAUUCCCAAAGUGCCAGA
rnacentral:sRNA from 1 species